rnacentral:lncRNA from 1 species
GAUAUUGGGAGACCACUGAAAGUUGAGGAAAGCCUUCAGAACAAGGCAGGCUUGCUUAACCCCUGCAGAUGCAAGAAUUGCCUCAGGGCACUGGAUGAGGUUUGCAUUUAGAUUCAGACCUAGGGCAAGAGUUUGAAGACUGCCCUUCAGCUGAUUUGAAUACACAACCUUACCUGAUACUAAGGAGAAGCUACUACUCUUGAGAAAGGAAGAGGCAGGCCUUUCCAACCCCCACUUGCCUCGCUUGAUGAAACUGUGCCCCACCACAUUCUCAGGCAGAGCUUCCUUGCCUGCCAGCUUGCAUCUCUUACAAGCGUCCAGUUCUGUUAAGUCUGUUUCUCGCCUAUCACUUUGUCUCUCUUGGAAUUCCUUCUGCUCUAAGUCAUAAAGAUCUUGAACCAGAGUGAGUCCAGACACAAGGUGAGUAGCUGGACUUUGAAACCAUGGAUUAAAGUCCCAAUCUGGCUUCAGGUUGGGUUCGAGUCCGGGCACGUGGGUUCCAGUCCCAAUCUGGGUUCUGGCUGGGGUAGGGCCCUCAGUGCUGUCAGUUUCAGCUGGUGACCACAAAGGGACAGUGAUGAGGCAAGGAAAUGUUCAGAGUUAGGGUCCUGGUCCUAGACCAGCAGCUCCAGGACAGAACUCCUAAUCUCGACACUCUUCUCCUGCUUCUGAGGGUCUUCCCAGCUCCAUUCCCUUCUCCCUCCUGUCAACCCCAGUGACCUGUGUGACCACCAAGGACUCCUUCUUAUUGCCCCUGCCCGUGCAGAUGCUGAGGGUUAAUUCCCAGUGUGCAGGCCAGAUGGAUUCCCAGGCAUCGUGGACACUGCUGGGGACACCUUCUGUACCUCUCCCUGUGGCAACUCCUCGGAUGUCUUCUAAGACAAAACCAGCGAGGAACCGACGGACGCCGCAGCUGAGGUAGAAGCCUUAGUGGACCCUGGAGUGUGGAAUAUGGGGGUUCCAGGCCUGGCCACAGGAAUGACCUGGGCCGGAAUAGCCCCACAAGAAGCCGUUCCCCUUAACAUCAGAGGCGGGUGAGAAUGCUGUGAAGACCCUCCCUCAUGUAUGGAGAAAGGGUUCCCCAAAGGCAAGGUGCCUGCCAUGGACCAGGACACCAUGGGAAUCGAGGGAUACAAAGGAGACAGUGGUGCACCGGGACCCCAAGUUUUCCCAGCCCGCCUGGGUAAGCCUGGAGC